ACUCCUACGGGAGGCAGCAGUAGGGAAUCUUCCACAAUGGGCGCAAGCCUGAUGGAGCAACACCGCGUGAGUGAAGAAGGGUUUCGGCUCGUAAAGCUCUGUUGUUAAAGAAGAACACGUAUGAGAGUAACUGUUCAUACGUUGACGGUAUUUAACCAGAAAGUCACGGCUAACUACGUGCCAGCAGCCGCGGUAAUACGUAGGUGGCAAGCGUUAUCCGGAUUUAUUGGGCGUAAAGAGAGUGCAGGCGGUUUUCUAAGUCUGAUGUGAAAGCCUUCGGCUUAACCGGAGAAGUGCAUCGGAAACUGGAUAACUUGAGUGCAGAAGAGGGUAGUGGAACUCCAUGUGUAGCGGUGGAAUGCGUAGAUAUAUGGAAGAACACCAGUGGCGAAGGCGGCUACCUGGUCUGCAACUGACGCUGAGACUCGAAAGCAUGGGUAGCGAACAGGAUUAGAUACCCUGGUAGAUAGCG
rnacentral:rRNA from 1 species